rnacentral:rRNA from 1 species
CGCGGUAAUACGUAGGGCGCGAGCGUUGUCCGGAAUUAUUGGGCGUAAAGAGCUCGUAGGCGGCUGGUCGCGUCUGUCGUGAAAUCCUCUGGCUUAACUGGGGGCUUGCGGUGGGUACGGGCCGGCUUGAGUGCGGUAGGGGAGACUGGAACUCCUGGUGUAGCGGUGGAAUGCGCAGAUAUCAGGAAGAACACCGGUGGCGAAGGCGGGUCUCUGGGCCGUUACUGACGCUGAGGAGCGAAAGCGUGGGGAGCGAACAGGAUUAGAUACCCUGGUAGUCCACGCCGUAAACGUUGGGCACUAGGUGUGGGGGGCCUUUUCCGGGUCUUCCGCGCCGUAGCUAACGCAUUAAGUGCCCCGCCUGGGGAGUACGGCCGCAAGGCUAAAACUCAAAGGAAUUGACGGGGGCCCGCACAAGCGGCGGAGCAUGCGGAUUAAUUCGAUGCAACGCGAAGAACCUUACCAAGGCUUGACAUGUGCCGGUCGGCUCCGGAGACGGGGUUUCCUCCUUGUGGGGCCGGUUCACAGGUGGUGCAUGGUUGUCGUCAGCUCGUGUCGUGAGAUGUUGGGUUAAGUCCCGCAACGAGCGCAACCCUCGUUCUAUGUUGCCAGCACGUGAUGGUGGGGACUCAUAGGAGACUGCCGGGGUCAACUCGGAGGAAGGUGGGGAUGACGUCAAAUCAUCAUGCCCCUUAUGUCUUGGGCUUCACGCAUGCUACAAUGGCCGGUACAGAGGGCUGCGAUACCGUGAGGUGGAGCGAAUCCCUUAAAGCCGGUCUCAGUUCGGAUCGGUGUCUGCAACUCGACACCGUGAAGUUGGAGUCGCUAGUAAUCGCAGAUCAGCAACGCUGCGGUGAAUACGUUCUCGGGCCUUGUACACACCGCCCGUCACGUCAUGAAAGUCGGCAACACCCGAAGCCCGUGGCCCUACGGGGAGCGGUCGAAGGUGGGGCUGGUGAUUGGGACGAAGUCGUAACAAGGUAGCCGUACCGGAAGGUGCGGCUG